UACGUAGGGUGCAAGCGUUGUCCGGAAUUAUUGGGCGUAAAGAGCUCGUAGGCGGUCUGUCGCGUCUGCUGUGAAAACUCAGGGCUUAACCUUGAGCUUGCAGUGGGUACGGGCAGGCUAGAGUGCGGUAGGGGAGAGUGGAAUUCCUGGUGUAGCGGUGAAAUGCGCAGAUAUCAGGAGGAACACCGGUGGCGAAGGCGGAUCGCUGGGCCGAUACUGACGCUGAGGAGCGAAAGCGUGGGGAGCGAACAGG
rnacentral:rRNA from 1 species